GUGAGCACAAAUGCUUAAUCUUCUAUAUGGGCAGAAAGUUUAGUAUGACUGGUUUAUACAACCAUUGGUUUCCAGGAUGUUUUGAUACAGGGUUUAGAUCUCCCUUCGAUGAUAUUGUGGGCAAGGAAGCAAGGAGUAUGUCUUUGUUGCCAACUCAGACAACUUGGGUGCCAAUUUUCUCGUCUCUGGCUUGUUAGGCUGUUUACUGAAUGUUGACUGUUCUGCCCCAAAGUCUGGUGAAUCGACUUGAAUGGACUGUGUUGUGCUGUACUACAUGGCAAAUCUGUGUAAUCUCCGCAUUGAUAGCAUGUAAAGCACAUUCUACCGAUUUCCUAUUAUCCUAUGUCCUGUUACUUGGCCAA